AUUGAACGCUGGCGGCAGGCCUAACACAUGCAAGUCGAACGGUAACAGGAAGACGCUUGCUUCUUUGCUGACGAGUGGCGGACGGGUGAGUAAUGUCUGGGAAACUGCCUGAUGGAGGGGGAUAACUACUGGAAACGGUAGCUAAUACCGCAUAACGUCGCAAGACCAAAGAGGGGGACCUUCGGGCCUCUUGCCAUCGGAUGUGCCCAGAUGGGAUUAGCUUGUAGGUGGGGUAACGGCUCACCUAGGCGACGAUCCCUAGCUGGUCUGAGAGGAUGACCAGCCACACUGGAACUGAGACACGGUCCAGGCUCCUACGGGAGGCAGCAGUGGGGAAUAUUGCACAAUGGGCGCAAGCCUGAUGCAGCCAUGCCGCGUGUAUGAAGAAGGCCUUCGGGUUGUAAAGUACUUUCAGCGGGGAGGAAGGGAGUAAAGUUAAUACCUUGACUCAUUGACGUUAACCGCAGAAGAAGCACCGGCUAACUCCGUG
rnacentral:rRNA from 1 species